CCUACGGGUGGCAGCAGUGGGGAAUAUUGCACAAUGGGGGAAACCCUGAUGCAGCGACGCCGCGUGAGUGAAGAAGUCAUUCGUUAUGUAAAGCUCUAUCAGCAGGGACGAAAAUGACGGUACCUGCGUAAGAAGCCCCGGCUAACGACGUGCCAGCAGCCGCGGUAAUACGUAGGGGGCAAGCGUUAUCCGGAUUUAGUGGGUGUAAUGGGAGCGUAGACGGCAGUGCAAGUCUGGAGUGAAAGGCGGGGGCUCAACCCCCGGACUGCUAUGGAAACUGUACGUCUGGAGUGCAGGAGAGGUAAGUGGAAUUCCUAGUGUAGCGGUGAAAUGCGUAGAUAUCACGAAGAACACCGAUGGCGAAGGCAGAUUACUAAACUGCCACUGACGUUGAGGCGCGAAAGUGUGGGUAGCAAACAGGAUUAGAUACCCGGGUAGUC
rnacentral:rRNA from 1 species